GACGAACGCUGGCGGCGUGCCUAAUACAUGCAAGUUGAGCGCUGAAGGUUGGUACUUGUACCAACUGGAUGAGCAGCGAACGGGUGAGUAACGCGUGGGGAAUCUGCCUUUGAGCGGGGGACAACAUUUGGAAACGAAUGCUAAUACCGCAUAAAAACUUUAAACACAAGUUUUAAGUUUGAAAGAUGCAAUUGCAUCACUCAAAGAUGAUCCCGCGUUGUAUUAGCUAGUUGGUGAGGUAAAGGCUCACUAAGGCGAUGAUACAUAGCCGACCUGAGAGGGUGAUCGGCCACAUUGGGACUGAGACACGGCCCAAACUCCUACGGGAGGCAGCAGUAGGGAAUCUUCGGCAAUAGACGAAAGUCUGACCGAGCAACGCCGCGUGAGUGAAGAAGGUUUUCGGAUCGUAAAACUCUGUUGGUAGAGAAGAACGUUGGUGAGAGUGGAAAGCUCAUCAAGUGACGGUAACUACCCAGAAAGGGACGGCUAACUACGUG
rnacentral:rRNA from 1 species